GUUGGGAUANCUCAGUUGGUA
rnacentral:tRNA from 1 species